rnacentral:rRNA from 1 species
GACGAACGCUGGCGGCGUGCUUAACACAUGCAAGUCGAACGGAAAGGCCCUGCUUGUGUGGGGGGCUAGAGGGGCGAACGUGUGUGAAACACGUGAGUAAUCUGCUUGUGACUUGGGUAAAACUGCAGGAAACUGUGUCUUAUAGGGGAUAGGAGCUCCUGCUGCAUGGUGGGGGUGGGAAAGUUUCGGCGGUUGGGGAUGGACUCGCGGCUUAUCAGCUUGUUGGUGGGGUAGUGGCUUACCAAGGCUGUGACGGGUAGCCGGCCUGAGAGGGUGACCGGCCACACUGGGACUGAGAUACGGCCCAGACUCCUACGGGAGGCAGCAGUGGGGAAUAUUGCACAAUGGGCGGAAGCCUGAUGCAGCAACGCCGCGUGAGGGAUGACGGCCUUCGGGUUGUAAACCGCUUUCGCCAGUGACGAAGCGAGAGUGACGGUAAUGGCUAAAGAAGCACCGGCUAACUACGUG